GACGAACGCUGGCGGCGUGCUUAACACAUGCAAGUCGAACGGAAAGGCCCUGCUUUUGUGGGGUGCUCAAGUGGCGAACGGGUGAGUAACACGUGAGUAACCUGCCCUUGACUUUGGGAUAACUUCAGGAAACUGGGGCUAAUACCGGAUAGGAGCUCCUGCUGCAUGUUGGGGGUUGGAAAGUUUCGGCGGUUGGGGAUGGACUCGCGGCUUAUCAGCUUGUUGGUGGGGUAGUGGCUUACCAAGGCUUUGACGGGUAGCCGGCCUGAGAGGGUGACCGGCCACAUUGGGACUGAGAUACGGCCCAGAGUCCUACGGGAGGCAGCAGUGGGGAAUAUUGCACAAUGGGCGGAAGCCUGAUGCAGCAACGCCGCGUGCGGGAGGACGGCCUUCGGGUUGUAAACCGCUUUCGCCUGUGACGAAGCGUGAGUGACGGUAAUGGGUAAAGAAGCACCGGCUAACUACGUG
rnacentral:rRNA from 1 species